AUGGAGAAAAGCAAGUCAUGUCCUGAAUACUCUUGUUCUUAUACUGAAUUUGGAUUCAGAGAAAGGUCUAGCUCAUAUAAUUUCAAUGGACCAAGUGAUAAAGGAAGUAGUUUUUCUGCAUCAAAUGAUUCAGAGAUUAAGAGAAAGAAGAGGAUCAAGUCCUAUAAUGUAUUGGCAGUGGAGGGAAAGCUUAAAAGUAGUGUAAGAAACAGUUUCAAGUGGAUCAAGAACAAGUUCAGCGAUGUUCGCUACGGUGUGUGA